UCGUGAUCCGCGGGGACAGGAACACGGGCAAGACGGCGCUGUGGCACCGGCUGCAGGGCGGGCGCUUCGUGGAGGAGUACAUCCCCACGCCCGAGAUCCAGGUCGCCAGCAUCCACUGGAGCUACAAAACCACGGAUGACAUCGUCAAAGUGGAGGUCUGGGACGUGGUGGACAAAGGAAAAUGUAAAAAGCGGGGCGAGGGCCUGAAGACGGGGUACGAGCCCCAGGAGGUGAGCU